GUUGGCAUUCUGGGCCUGCUUCACGAUGACUUUGUGUUAACUAUUCCAGGAUGUCAGCAUAAUU
rnacentral:pre_miRNA from 1 species